rnacentral:rRNA from 1 species
CCUACGGGAGACAGCAGUGAGGAAUAUUGGUCAAUGGGCGCGAGCCUGAACCAGCCAAGUCGCGUGAGGGAAGACGGCCCUACGGGUUGUAAACCUCUUUUGCCGGGGAGCAAGGGCGGGGACGUGUCCCGGCCCGGAGAGUACCCGGAGAAAAAGCAUCGGCUAACUCCGUGCCAGCAGCCGCGGUAAUACGGAGGAUGCGAGCGUUAUCCGGAUUUAUUGGGUUUAAAGGGUGCGUGGGCGGGCUUUUAAGUCAGCGGUAAAUAUUCGGGGCUCAACCCCGUCCGGCCGGGGAAACUGGGGGCCUUGAGUGGGCGAGAAGAAGGCGGAAUGCGUGGUGUAGCGGUGAAAUGCAUAGAUAUCACGCAGAACCCCGAUUGCGAAGGCAGCCUUCCGGCGCCCUACUGACGCUGAGGCACGAAAGUGCGGGGAUCGAACAGGAUUAGAUACCCUGGUAGUC